rnacentral:lncRNA from 1 species
AUUAAUAAACUGUUUUGUUUUUGUUAGCUUUGGUAUAACUAUAACGAACUAGGCUGGAAUGCUAUCAAUAGCACUAAGUUGUUGGUGCUAUUAGGUUUUCAGCUCUUGGAUGAAAAAAUAUACGGUUGGGAUGAUGUGGGCCCCCUAGGGUUGAAUGAGUUGUUGGUUGAAUAGUUUUAAUCUAAUGGGUGAAAAUAGUCAAAGGGUUAAAUCUAACGGCGGAAAACUCGGUAGCACCAAAUGCUUGAUGCUAUCGAUAAUAUCCCAGCCGGACUCUAAAUAUAAUUAUAACACGUCUUUCUUGAUCAUAUAUGUCAUGCAAGUAAUAUACAC